AUCCAGCUGACGAGGCCCAAAUAGGACGAGACGCGCAUCCUGGAU
rfam:Schistosoma mansoni strain Puerto Rico chromosome 1, complete genome